rnacentral:rRNA from 1 species
UUGAACGCUAGCGGGAUGCUUUACCCCUGCAAGUCGAACGGCAGCGCGGACUUCGGUCUGGCGGCGAGUGGCGAACGGGUGAGUAAUGUAUCGGAACGUGCCCAGUAUCGGGGGAUAACUACGCGAAAGCGUAGCUAAUACCGCAUACGCCCUACGGGGGAAAGCAGGGGAUCGUAAGACCUUGCACUAUUGGAGCGGCCGAUAUCGGAUUAGCUAGUUGGUGAGGUAACGGCUCACCAAGGCGACGAUCCGUAGCUGGUUUGAGAGGACGACCAGCCACACUGGGACUGAGACACGGCCCAGACUCCUACGGGAGGCAGCAGUGGGGAAUUUUGGACAAUGGGGGCAACCCUGAUCCAGCCAUCCCGCGUGUGCGAUGAAGGCCUUCGGGUUGUAAAGCACUUUUGGCAGGAAAGAAACGUCGCGGGCUAAUACCCCGUGGAACUGACGGUACCUGCAGAAUAAGCACCGGCUAACUACGUG